AUUGAACGCUGGCGGCAGGCCUAACACAUGCAAGUCGAACGAGUGGCGGACGGGUGAGUAAUGUAUGGGAAACUGCCUGAUGGAGGGGGAUAACUACUGGAAACGGUGGCUAAUACCGCAUACCAUCGGAUGGGACCAUAUGGGAUUAGCGAGUAGGUGGGGUAAAGGCUCACCAAGGCGACGAUCCGUAGCUGGUCUGAGAGGACGAACAGCCACACUGGGACUGAGACACGGUCCAGACUCCUACGGGAGGCAGCAGUGGGGAAUUUUGGACAAUGGGCGCAAGCCUGAUGCAGCCAUGCCGCGUGUAUGAUGAAGGCCUUCGGGUUGUAAAGUACUUUUAGCUGGGAGGCGUUACCUGCAGAAUAAGCACCGGCUAACUCCGUGCCAGCAGCCGCGGUAAUAC
rnacentral:rRNA from 1 species